rnacentral:misc_RNA from 1 species
UCGAACGUCAACUCUGGCAACG